UACAGCAGUGGCAGACGGGUGAGUAACGCGUGGGAACGUGCCUUUUGGUUCGGAACAACCCAGGGAAACUUGGGCUAAUACCGGAUAAGCCCUUACGGGGAAAGAUUUAUCGCCAAAAGAUCGGCCCGCGUCUGAUUAGCUAGUUGGUGAGGUAAUGGCUCACCAAGGCAACGAUCAGUAGCUGGUCUGAGAGGAUGAUCAGCCACACUGGGACUGAGACACGGCCCAG
rnacentral:rRNA from 1 species